UCAUAUUAUUUUGCUCUCUCUCUACUUGCUCUAACUUCUUCUCUCUACAAAGUUUCUUAAUCAAAGUUGAUUGUGUCGGUGGCUGGUGGCCCUGCCGCCGGUUACCAUCUUGUUCAUUUUGUUUUUUUUUUGGUUUGUAAAAUACUUUCGAUCUACGGAUUGAGCUUAUUUCGCUUUGGCGAUAUGUUUUUCGUUAGGUGAUUUUGGAUGUGCUAAGUUUUACCCAGAUCAGAGCUGAAUCUUCGAAAGAGGUUCAAUUAUGGGGCCUAAUUAGUUUCUUCGUUUCAUAGAGCAUGCUUGUAGUUUAAUCAGGUGUAAUCUCUUCACUUUCUGAAGAACUUUGGCUGUAGCAGUGAAGUCUCCUCAGCAAACGAGAAACAAGAUUUUGGAAUAUGUCACGAUGGUUCUAGAACAGAAUAAGCAGAGUCGAGGUCAAUAGACGUCUCGACAUAUGUUUUGUCUCUUAUCCAUCGCCACUUCCCAGAUUUAAAGCUUUGAUGAAAUUUGAAAAGCUGAUGAAUACGUCAAGUGACUUCCAUGUGAGGGUAGCAAGUGAUGAUACAAGAAAGCUUCGACGCCGGAGCGAUGAAGAUGAAGAUGACGACAACCGGUGGAUUCCGGUGAAAACUUGCGCAGAUGUGUUUACUUGACUUUUGACACGUGUAUAGUUGAUGUACUUAAAACUUCCUCAUCUUUUUACACGUGUAGUAAAUGUGUCUUGUA